GACGAACGCUGGCGGCGUGCUUAACACAUGCAAGUCGAACGGAAAGGCCUUUUCGGAGGUACUCGAGUGGCGAACGGGUGAGUAACACGUGGGUGAUCUGCCCUGCACUCUGGGAUAAGCCUGGGAAACUGGGUCUAAUACCGGAUAGGACCGCACUUUAGUGUGUGUGGUGGAAAGUUUUUUCGGUGUAGGAUGAGCCCGCGGCCUAUCAGCUUGUUGGUGGGGUAAUGGCCUACCAAGGCGGCGACGGGUAGCCGGACUGAGAGGUUGGUCGGCCAUAUUGGGACUGAGAUACGGCCCAGACUCCUACGGGAGGCAGCAGUGGGGAAUAUUGCACAAUGGGCGCAAGCCUGAUGCAGCGACGCCGCGUGGGGGAGGACGGCCUUCGGGUUGUAAACUCCUUUCGCCAGGGACGAAGCGUUUUGUGACGGUACCUGGAGAAGAAGCACCGGCUAACUACGUG
rnacentral:rRNA from 1 species